rnacentral:tRNA from 1 species
GGCCUUAUAUUCAUUUAAUGAUUACAGAAUGCAAUUUUGUAGGUACAAUGUAGUUGUUAAGGCUU